rnacentral:tRNA from 1 species
GAGUUUUUCUAUUUUUACUUGCUCCCCCGCCGUGAUCGAAUGAGAAUGGAUAAGAGGCUCGUGGGAUUGACG